UCAAUGCAGAGGGUUACAGUAUCAAAUAUAUAAAGUUUUGGAUCUAAGAAACACGAUAACCAAAACGAGUUUAGUGAAACCGCAAUAAAAUAACCUAUCAAAAACGAGUCAUCAAUGUAAAUGACACUAGAUAAUGGAAAUAUUAUUUCCUUUUUAGGAAAAGUCGGUUUUAUAAAAUAUAUGAUCUAAAAAUAGAUUGAUGUCCUUUCCUGAAAAUAACAUGUUUGCGUAUUGCGGAACGUGAUUCCGUUAUUUGUGGUUGUCCGUCUUAACGCCGUGGAAUCUAUGGUUGCAAUUGUGUCACUCGACGAUUGUUUACUAUUUUGGGAAAUAUUAAAAGUUUGUUGUGCUUUUUAUUAAUUAUACAGUCGUAUAAUUAAUAGAUAACUACUGGUGGACUGCAGUGUUAAAGUUCUGGAUACAAAUCUCGUGAUAAUUCUGGACAUGUCAUCAUUUCAUAUUAGGAGGUGUUUACGUGAUGAUAUAAAAUGUUUGGUGUGCUAAAUAGUGAUUAUAUUUUGUGAUUAUGUGAUAAAAAGUGUGUUACAUGCUGAAUAUCAAUGCGACGACAACAAGUUCGUGCGCUUGUGCGUGGGGCCAGGCGGGCGGCCCCGGCUCUGGGUGCGCGGGCGCAGCUUCUACGCGGCGCACACGAUGCGCUCCGGCGUUGUGCGCUGGCGAUGUACCAUGGGCGGCUGCGGCUGC